CCCUUAGAUGUCCGGGGCCGCACGCGCGCUACAAUGGAUGAAUCAACGCGUCAUCCUGGCCCGAAAGGGUUGGGGAACCGCUGAACCUCAUCCGUGGUUGGGAUUGGGGUUUGUAAUUAUUCCCCAUGAACUAGGAAUUCCCAGUAAGCGCGAGUCAUAAGCUCGCGUUGAUUACGUCCCUGCCCUUUGUACACACCGCCCGUCGCUACUACCGAUUGGAUGGUUUAGUGAGAUCCUCGGAUUGGUCACGGCACGGUGGCAACACUGCGUCGGUGGGCCGAGAAGACGAUCAAACUUGAUCAUCUAGAGGAAGUAAAAGUCGUAACA
rnacentral:rRNA from 1 species